rnacentral:rRNA from 1 species
GACGAACGCUGGCGGCGUGCUUAACACAUGCAAGUCGAACGGAAAGGCCUCUUUCGGGGGGUACUCGAGUGGCGAACGGGUGAGUAACACGUGAGUAACCUGCCCUUGACUUUGGGAUAACUUCAGGAAACUGGGGCUAAUACCGGAUAGGAGCUCCUGCUGCAUGGUGGGGGUUGGAAAGUUUCGGCGGUUGGGGAUGGACUCGCGGCUUAUCAGCUUGUUGGUGGGGUAGUGGCUUACCAAGGCUUUGACGGGUAGCCGGCCUGAGAGGGUGACCGGCCACAUUGGGACUGAGAUACGGCCCAGACUCCGACGGGAGGCAGCAGUGGGGAAUAUUGCACAAUGGGUGGAAGCCGGAUGCAGAAACGCCGUGGGCGGGAUGACGGCCUUCGGGUUGUAAACCGCUUUCGCUCAUGACGAAGCUUUGUGUGACGGUAGUGGGUAAAGAAGCACCGGCUAACUACGUG